rnacentral:rRNA from 1 species
GCCAGCAGUUCUAUCACCCUGCAACUCGCAGCUGGCAGCCCGUUGGAGCACAGCAGGUGUGAGCCUGGUCAGUACCUGGAUGGGAGACCUCCUGGGAAAAACAAAUGUUGCUGCUGGAA